UCCAAGGCAACCUCUCGUCCACAGGUCAGGUACAGUGCGGGCAGGUGCACUGUCGGCUGCCUUACACCGCGCCUCCCGUCCACCUCAAAGCUGAUAUGGAUGGGCCGCUCUCCAGCCGGGGUGAGAAGGUAAAUGGAGCCAGGUUGGUCUGCUGGAUCAG
rnacentral:sRNA from 1 species